CGGGCGCGGCAGCGGGGGUGGGCCUGCGCCUUUAAGAGGGGGCCGGGCCGGCGGUGACCCCGCGCGCUGUCCGCCUCUUCCUGGUUGCCAUGGGCACCGCCUGUCGGCGUCCCAAAAUGGCGGCGGCGCCAUCCGGCCCGGAGAGCUGUGGGAAGGGAGCGGGCUUCCUGUGAAGCACUUCAGAUGUCUGGUUUUGGUUUUGUUUUCAGUUGCCCAAGUGUAUCCUUAAACUGAAGUCUGUUAAGAGAAAGUAGGACACCUGGAAAAAGGAAAGCAAGGCUUGCUGCAAGCAAGAUAGGGGAAUAGGAACCAGACAAAAGCAGAGGCUGCUCUGAAUUCUUUUAAGUAAUCAAGUGUGCAACAGUAGUUGGAAAAAUUAGCUGGAAAUAUACCUACUUGUCUGCGUGGAUGUAUUUGCAGCCCAAACGUGACCAGGAGACUCUGAUGCUAACUUUACCUUUUGCAGCAAGAAACGGCUUCCAUCUCGGAUCUAAAUUCAAUUUCAAUUACAUUUUAAAUAUAGAGGCAUUAACCAGGACUUUUUAAACAAGGGUAUCGAUUACUCACUAGGAAGUAUGCUGUUCCAUUGAGAAACUGGCAAAGGAAGAUUGCCAAAUAGUUCCUGCAUAAACUGCUUGAAGGAGGAAGCUGAAGAAGGAGCCUUGUAACUCAUUGCACAUGGUUCUAAAAGUAGACUGUAUAGAAGCUGUAUAGAAGUUCAGGUGUAUAAAUGAGUAUUCACAGAAUACAACUCAACUGGGUUGUGUAGAAGAAAUCUUGUGAACCAGUGGUGAAAAGAUUUAUUUUUUUUUUCCAAAUAGUUAUUUUAAGGCUUUAAUCAUAACUUCACAAAUGCAGGGUAACUAUCCCAUAUGUUCUUCCUGCAUGGGCAUCUACCAGUUCAAUUGCAGAAACAGAAGACUGAAGGAGACUUCUCAAGUCACUGAGUCCUAGUCCACGCUGUUUCAUCUAGCCAUGUAACAGAUCCUCACAGCAUACAUGGGGCUUGAUGUAUUUCAAAGGUGGUAAUACUUCUUUUUGCCUUGCUACUUCAGACAGAACAACUGCUCCAGAUCAGUACUUCUCUAAUGGCUGAAAAUACGGUUAUACAGACUAAUUUACAGUUUAUUUUUUAUGUGGAUGUCCUUUAGCAUAAAUAAUGCCAUUAUAUGUGGAUAACAAUGUUCUGUAUAUAUAUGUGUUCAUGUAUGUAUGUUUCAAUUAUUUUUAAUAAAUAUGCUCUUUUUUUUUCA